AUUGUUCAGUUUUAUCAGUAGAUGGUGUGUACCAAAUUUUUUUCGUCUGCACUUAAACCUUGACGUUUUAAAGCCCAAAAAUGUUUUUCGUCACCCGCCAGUAACUUUUUUUUCCCAAAGUGAUUUCCUUUUCAUCAAUUAGGUAUUGAGUGUACAAGCAAGAGAUUUGCUUUUUCAGAAAGAUUACUAAAAACUGUGUUGAAGAGGAAAGACUUUAUGUGUUACAAUUGAAAGAGCCAUUGAAAUGGUUUUAAAAGAAGUAAGAAGAGUUACCAAUGUGUGAAUCCCAUUUUAUAUACCAAGAAGAAGUCUGUAAAGCUACAUUGACAGAAAGAAGAAAGACAUUUCUUCAAUUAUUGGAACAGAUAUCUAGAAAAAGUGCCUGCAAACUUAAAUGUGCUUUCUCAAAGUUAUACCGGGUUUUCAUAGAUGAAGAAAGGACUAUACUAGUUCAUUUUUUCCAUCGAUCAGCAGACAUUUAUGUUUUCCUGUCCUGUGUAAGAAAGCUUUCAAUUUACGCCCACAAUGAAUCUCUAAUUACCACUAACCAACA